UACGAAGGGGGCUAGCGUUGCUCGGAAUGACUGGGCGUAAAGGGCGCGUAGGCGGAUUGUACAGUCAGGCGUGAAAUUCCCGGGCUCAACCUGGGGGCUGCGCUUGAGACGUGCGAUCUUGAGUGGGGAAGAGGGUCGUGGAAUUCCCAGUGUAGAGGUGAAAUUCGUAGAUAUUGGGAAGAACACCGGUAGCGAAGGCGGCGACCUGGUCCUUUUACUGACGCUGAGGCGCGAAAGCGUGGGGAGCAAACAGG
rnacentral:rRNA from 1 species